rnacentral:tRNA from 1 species
GGCGGUGUAGCUCAGUCGGUUAGAGCGGCGGUUUCAUAAGCCGUAGGUCGCUGGUUCGAGUCCAGCCACCGCCA